rnacentral:tRNA from 3 species
UGCAUCUUUAGUUCAGUCUGGUAGAACGUAGGUUUCCAAAACCUAAUGCCGUGGGUUCAAAUCCUACAGGAUGCGA